AAUACUCAUCAAAUGAGCUAUCAUUGGAUGUUCAAUCUUACCAUGGCCGAUUCAUGUUUUGCCCUACAUAAUGGUAAAACUAAUUUGGGAUUAAAAAGUUUGAUAUUAUUUUGUCAAUUGCAGUAUUGUAUUUAUAUACCACUGAUGUUUUUGAAGAUAUUGUUUUGCAAAUUCCGCCUGAUGGUAUGACCACGAGAAAGUGGAGGAGCUUGGUGGACAAAUGGAAGAGAGAAG
rnacentral:lncRNA from 1 species